rnacentral:rRNA from 1 species
GAUGAACGCUGGCGGCGUGCCUAACACAUGCAAGUCGAGCGAACGGACGAGAAGCUUGCUUUUUUGAUGUUAGCGGCGGGCGGGUGAGUAACGCGUGGAUCCCCUACCUAUAAGUCUGGGAUAACUACGGGAAACCGGAGCUAAUACCGUAUAAUAUUUUGAACCGCAGGGUUCAAAAGUGAAAGACGGUCUUGCUGUCACUUAUAGAUGGAUCCGCGCUGCAUUAGCUAGUUGGUAAGGUAACGGCUUACCAAGGCUACGAUGCAUAGCCGACCUGAGAGGCUGAUCGGCCACACUGGAACUGAGACACGGUCCAGACUCCUACGGGAGGCAGCAGUAGGGAAUCUUCGGCAAUGGGCGAAAGCCUGACGGAGCAACGCCGCGUGAGUGAUGAAGGUCUUCGGAUCGUAAAGCUCUGUUAUUAGGGAAGAACAGAUGUGUAAUUAACUGUGCCCAUCUUGACGGUACCUAAUCAAAAAGCAACGGCUAACUACGUG